UCGUGUAGGUAUCCUCAAUUCGCAGAAAUUCGACAGUUGAUCGGGUCUGCAAAUUUCGGGCCAGACAGACCCGUUACCGGAAAAGUCUCCGAAUUGGGCCGAGGUUUUGGCUAGCCCCCCAUUGUCAGACGUCCCGAGCGCGUUCCCGAAGUCGGAAUCGGCAAAGGUGAGCCGGGACAGCCUUCUUCCUCCGCCCAGCCGCCACAGUAAUUUGUCGUCAAGUUUGCCGCAGGAGGAUAUUUUAUUCUGGAUUAACCUGCUUUUGUACUUCGCAGGUUGUUUAUCAAUAUUGUGUAAUUUUAAUUACUCCUAGAAUUUCCACAUGUGUUAGCAGUAAUUAUUUGAAUUUGGUCUGUAAUAUUAUAUUCAUGUUGGACCUGUAAACUUAAAUAUGUUAUGCAUGUUGAUGGUUUGGAUGAGGGAGCUGAGCUCCCAUUUAUUUUUGUUGAUGAGUAUGUGGAGGGUGAGCUGAGCUCCCCAAUUGAGUA